UAGAGAAUCUUCCGCAAUGGGCGAAAGCCUGACGGAGCAACGCCGCGUGAGUGAUGAAGGUCUUCGGAUCGUAAAACUCUGUUAUUAGGGAAGAACAAAUGUGUAAGUAACUAUGCACGUCUUGACGGUACCUAAUCAGAAAGCCACGGCUAACUACGUGCCAGCAGCCGCGGUAAUACGUAGGUGGCAAGCGUUAUCCGGAAUUAUUGGGCGUAAAGCGCGCGUAGGCGGUUUUUUAAGUCUGAUGUGAAAGCCCACGGCUCAACCGUGGAGGGUCAUUGGAAACUGGAAAACUUGAGUGCAGAAGAGGAAAGUGGAAUUCCAUGUGUAGCGGUGAAAUGCGCAGAGAUAUGGAGGAACACCAGUGGCGAAGGCGACUUUCUGGUCUGUAACUGACGCUGAUGUGCGAAAGCGUGGGGAUCAAACAGG
rnacentral:rRNA from 1 species